GACGAACGCUGGCGGCGCGCUUAACACAUGCAAGUCGAGCGAUGAAACUUUAACAGAACCCUUCGGGGCGAAGAUAAAGUGGAUUAGCGGCGGACGGGUGAGUAACACGUGAGUAACCUGCCUUAGACAUUGGGAUAGCCUCGGGAAACCGGGAUUAAUACCAAAUAAAAUCAUAAUGACACAUGUCAUAACGAUCAAAACUCCGGUGGUCUAAGAUGGACUCGCGUCCCAUUGGCUAGUUGGUAGAGUAAAAGCCUACCAAGGCGAGGAUGGGUAGCCGGCCUGAGAGGGUGAACGGCCACAUUGGAACUGAGAAACGGUCCAAACUCCUACGGGAGGCAGCAGUGGGGAAUAUUGCACAAUGGAGGGAACUCUGAUGCAGCGACGCCGCGUGAACGAAGAAGGCUUUCGAGUCGUAAAGUUCUUUUAUAUGGGAAGAUAAUGACGGUACCAUAAGAAAAAGCCCCGGCUAACUACGUG
rnacentral:rRNA from 1 species